rnacentral:lncRNA from 1 species
CUACAGGCAGCUCCAAAUGACCCUGGGUGAUGUUUGACGAGCUCCUGUGAACCUCGACAAAUGGGGUCCUGACCACAGCUCUGUGAGAAAACAGUGGGUGAUCUGAGAGAGAGAGCUGAACCUGGCUGAGAAAAACAAGCACCCAAUGUGACUCGCCCCUGGUUUAGAAUGGCAGGCCUACAGGCACACAGCGCAUCGGGGUGAAGCCGUUUUGACUCUGACUUCAGGGCCCUUGAGAGAGCCGCUUGACUUCCCUGGGAGGAGUGUCUCGUUCGGAAUCAUUUUUUCCGGGAGUGACAUCCCUGAAUGUCACAGAUCAAUCUUCAUUUACGUAAGAAUUCCCAUGAAAACUCAUUUCGCUAAGAAUUCCCAUGAAAAGUUACAGACAAUAUGUAAAUGAC